UACAGAUGACGGAGAUUGGAAAAGAUGGAGAGGACGCACCCCCACGAGUUCCACUGGUCCCUUGUAUGAUCAUACAACAGGAACAAGUUAUGGGUUUUUCAUGUAUAUGGAAUCAAGCCACACGAACAAGACUGAUAAAUUGCUCCUGAUGUCACCUUUGUUUCAACCAGAACAAAGUCGCAGUUGCUUCGAACUCUGGUAUCAUAUGUUUGAUAAACCUUUCGAUUUCGGACUCAGUCAAGAGGAUCAUAUUGGCCAAUUGAAUGUGCAUAUCCAGGCU